CCCCUGGCAGGCCACCAUAACGGCCACGAACCUGCUCCACCUCCUGCGACGGAUACCGGGCGAUUCUCCCAUCCGCUGGCAAGUCACGACAACGGACGCUGCUCCACCCCUCGUAACAGAUUCCACGUGGCGAGCUGCGGUGAUGGCCACAUGUCUACUCCACUAUCCAUCGCAAUCAAUUCCCCUAACCAUGGGCGGCCCACUACC
rnacentral:lncRNA from 1 species